CCUACGGGAGACAGCAGUGAGGAAUAGUGGUCAAUGGACGCAAGUCUGAACCAGCCAUGCCGCGUGCAGGAAGACGGCUCUAUGAGUUGUAAACUGCUUUUGUACGAGGGUAAACGCAGAUACGAGUAUCUGUCUGAAAGUAUCGUACGAAUAAGGAUCGGCUAACUCCGUGCCAGCAGCCGCGGUAAGACGGAGGAUUCAAGCGUUAUCCGGAUUUAUUGGGGUUAAAGGGUGCGUAGGCGGUCGGAUAAGUUUGAGUUGCAAUCCCGAGGCUCAACUUCGGAAUUGCCUCUGAUACUGUUCGGCUAUAGCUUAGUUGCGCUAGGCAGAAUGUAUGGUGUAGCGGUGAAAUGCUUAGAGUUCCUACAGAACCCCGAUUGCGAAGGCAGCUUACCAAGCUACUUCUGACGUUGAGGCACGAAAGCG
rnacentral:rRNA from 1 species